GGGACCCCAACGAACAGAAGCCCCGCCCCCAACGCCGGGAGGCGCCCGCGGCCCCCUUGGUCGCUCACCUGCCAGGCGAGGCGGGGAUCCCGGUCCGGCGAGCCCAGUUAGAAGAGGUGAUACAUUUCCUCACUGACCUCCUGUUCUCUUUGUGAACAACCACAUGCCUCUUCUAAGAAGUUAAGUGAAACCAAGGAUCCAGUUGGCGGCCACUGAACAGAGCAAAGCCCAGUGAUGAACAAUCUGGACAAGAAGAACCAUGGACUGAAAGUCAGGAUACUCUGCCUGGUCAAAGGAGAAAAGACAAAGGAGCACCCAUGGUUCAAGGGCCUGACGCACAAGCUGAUCAGCAGGUAAUGACUCGGCCAAAGACUGUGGGGAGGUGUGGAGACGGUGCAGAGGUCAAAAGGAAGAUUUUACCUAACCUCAAGCUCAUUAAUAUGCCAGAAGCAGGUAAAAGACAGCCAUGGCUUUAAAAGACAAACUGAAACCAUGUAAGCUGUUCUUAUGUUGGUAACUUGUUAAAAUCUUUCUCAAUGAAGUUUUACAAUUUUCUUCGUAAACAGGUCACAAAGAUGGUAAGUAGUG